ensembl:lncRNA
GGGAUACUGGGAGAUAUUGGGAGAUACUGGGGGAUACUGGGGAUAUUGGGGUGGGAUACUGGGAGAUAUUGAGGGUACUGGGGGAUACUGGAAGAUAUUGGGGGAUACUGGGAGAUACUGGGGUGGGAUACUGGGAGAUAUUGGGAGAUAUUGAGAGAUACUGGGGUGGGAUACUGGGAGAUAAUGGGGGAUACUGGGGGAUACUGGGAGAUACUGGGAGAUAAUGAGGGAUACUGGGGGAUACUGGGGGAUAUUGGGGGAUAGUGGGGGAUACUGGAAGAUAUUGGAGGAUACUGGGAGAUAUGGGGGUGGGAUACUGGGGGGUACUGGGCAGGAUAUGGGGGAUCACUUGGGGACCGCCUGCCCCACACUUAUGGGGUUCACCGUGAGCCCACUGGGGUCAAUUGGAGAUCUUCUGCCCCACAUCUGUGGGGUUCCAUGUGGGCUCAUAGGGGUCACCUGGGGACCUUCUGCCCCACACUUAUGGGGAUUGCUGUGGGUUCGUGGGGGUCUGUUGGAGAUCUGCUGCCCCACACUUGUGGGGUUUCCUAUGGGCUCACGGGGGCCUCUUGGGGACCUUCUGCCCCACACCUGUGGGCUCUGCCGUGGGUUGAUGUGCGCCACCCGGGCUCCUCCCGCCCCACACUUAUGGGGCUCUCCGUGGGCUCACCGGGGCCACUCGGGGACCUUUUUGCCCCACAGUUCCGCGCUUCGCUGCGCCUUUACGGG